rnacentral:rRNA from 1 species
CCUACGGGAGGCAGCAGUGAGGAAUAUUGGUCAAUGGCCGUAAGGCUGAACCAGCCAAGUAGCGUGAGGGAAGACUGCCCUAUGGGUUGUAAACUUCUUUUUUGCGGGGAUAACAGUGUCCACGUGUGGAUGUUUGAAGGUACCGUAUGAAUAAGGACCGGCUAAUUCCGUGCCAGCAGCCGCGGUAAUACGGAGGGUCCGGGCGUUAUCCGGAUUUAUUGGGUUUAAAGGGAGCGUAGGGCGGUCGUUAAGGGAGCCGUGCAAUUUUGUGGCUCAACCAGUAGAUUGCGUCGGAAACUGGAGUCCUUGAGUGCGGGAGAGGCAGGCGGAAUUCGGGGUGUAGCGGUGAAAUGCUUAGAGAUCACGAAGAACCCCGAUUGCGAAGGCAGCCUGCCGGACCGUUACGGACGCUGAGGCUCGAAAGCGCGGGUAUCAAACAGGAUUAGAUACCCGAGUAGUC